GAGAAUUACCGGCAGGUUGUGUGGACUGGAAAUAAUCACCACUUUCAUGGUGUCAAGUCUUCAAAUUACCAAGACAUGGCACCUGCAAACAAUAUCACCAAUACAUGGUAUGGGUUAAUAAACAUGAUGAAAUUGGACAAUUUUGCCCUUUGUUAAGACUAUACCGUUCAAUAUAUCAAUCCCUUUCCGUUUUCCUUCUCUCUUUUUCUUCUCAUUCUCCACAGCCGAACCACAUCCUCCCCUCUCUAGGGUUUUACUCCUGCCAUUCUCUCCUCUGUGCUCCCCACACUCUGAAGACUGCUGCCUACUCCCUCCUUCGAGAGCAACCUUGUUCCCCAACUCCCUCCUUCGCAUCUGUUUGAAUCCUCUACCCCAGAGACGCUGCCUUCAAUCGUCCACACUUCCAACAUUGCCAUCCCUAGUUCAUCAGGUUAGUUGAAUCGAUUCCCCUUCCUGGUCGCUGAAUGUACCGGCAUUGUGUUGUUUAACCAUGAAAGAAUCAAAUACUGAAGUGAGAAGUUGUUCAACUGUCUCUCCAUUCAGUGGUAAUUAGUUUCAGGAAUGCCUUAUUUCAGUUUGGUUGACUAAAUAUCGAGGAUGAUUUAUGGUACACUCUUUACCAAAAAUAUCAGCUCCAGGGCACCAUUAUCUACCCAUACAUAUUAGAACAUUGAGUGACUGCUCAUCUGAGCUCAAAUCUGUCUUCUAUAAGGUCAA